rnacentral:lncRNA from 1 species
CAUUUCGCAACACCUACGGCUUCCACUAGAUGUCAACGAUCUUUAUAAAGUUGUUUGAAGCGUCUAUGAUAAACAGAGAGCAAAUUAGAAUCCAAGGAAGUUGACAUGUCAUCACUUCAUUUUUUUGCGCCUGCGCAUAAAUCUGAGAAACGUGAGUUUGUCAUCAUUUUUUAUCUAGACAUAGGAUAGGUUGUGUGAAAAUAUUACUGAUGUUUAACGUUAAAAAUGGACCAAAAGAUUAAUGCUAAACAACAUUUGACAUGUUUGAACGAACAUAAAUAGAUUAUUUACUAGGUUUUUUUAGCUUUUCGGCGUGAUUUUACCAGCCCCCCACCACGUUUUGUGGGAGCAUAAUGAACGCUAAGUACUUGGUGUUAUUUGGACAUAAAUUAUGAACUUUGUCAAAAGAAACCACAUUUGUUCCGGACCUGGGAUGCCUUCCGGACCUGGGAUGCCUGCCUUCUGAUGGAGAUAAUCAAAGCAGGUAUUCCGGCAUUAUGGCCUUCCAGAUGACAUCGUCUCAGACCAUGGCCCCCAAUUCACAUCACGAGUUUGGAGGGCCUUCUUGGAGAAGCUCGGGGUCAUGGUCAGCCUCACUUCCGGGUAUCGGCCUCAGUCCAAUGGGCAGG